rnacentral:misc_RNA from 1 species
AUAAGCCAACUAAAUAUCUUUUUCCAAGAUUUAUUGAUGGAUGGACUUAUUUGGUUGUGUGCGCUGUCCUCUCGUUCACUUGGUUUGUGCGCGGUUGGAUGAAAUAUUAGCAUCCUUGGCAUCCUAUGGCUUACAUGUUUUGGUUAACAUUGUAUGGUAUUAACGUUGUCAAGUUUAGACUGGAGGCCGAACAGAAUGCCGAUCUUAUUCUCAUAAAUGAGAGAAACC